rnacentral:rRNA from 1 species
AGUGAACGCUGGCGGUAGGCCUAACACAUGCAAGUCGAACGGCAGCACAGUAAGAGCUUGCUCUUACGGGUGGCGAGUGGCGGACGGGUGAGGAAUACAUCGGAAUCUACUUUUUCGUGGGGGAUAACGUAGGGAAACUUCCGCUAAUACCUCAUACGUCCUACGGGUUAAAUCAGGGGAUCUUCGGACCUUGCGCGAUUGAAUUAGCCGAUGUCGGAUUAGCUAGUUGGCGGGGUAAAGGCCCACCAAGGCAACGAUCCGUAGCUGGUCUGAGAGGAUGAUCAGCCACACUGGAACUGAGACACGGUCCAGACUCCUACGGGAGGCAGCAGUGGGGAAUAUUGGACAAUGGGCGAAAGCCUGAUCCAGCCAUACCGCGUGAGUGAAGAAGGCCUUCGGGUUGUAAAGCCCUUUUGUUGGGAAAGAAAAGCAGCAGGUUAAUACCCCGCUGUUCUGACGGUACCCAAAGAAUAAGCACCGGCUAACUUCGUG